ACUCCUACGGGAGGCAGCAGGUGAGGAAUAUUGGUCAAGUGGACGCAAGUCUGAACCAGCCAUGUCGCGUGCAGGAAGACUGCCCUAUGGGUUGUAAACUGCUUUUAUACGGGAAGAAAUAUAGCUACGUGUAGUUAUUUGCCGGUACCGUAUGAAUAAGCAUCGGCUAACUCCGUGCCAGCAGCCGCGGGUAAUACGGAGGAUGCGAGCGUUAUCCGGAUUCAUUGGGUUUAAAGGGUGCGUAGGCGGAAGUAUAAGUCAGGGGUGAAAGUUUGUGGCUCAACCAUAAAAUUGCCUUUGAUACUGUAUUUCUUGAGUACAUUUGAGGUAGGCGGAAUGUGUUGUGUAGCGGUGAAAUGCUUAGAUAUAACACAGAACACCGAUUGCGAAGGCAGCUUACUAAACUGUAACUGACGCUGAUGCACGAAAGCGUGGGGAUCGAACAGGAUUAGAUACCCUGUAGCACAGAG
rnacentral:rRNA from 1 species